UGUGACCUGCGAGAAAACACAAAAGGUUGUCAAGAUUGCCAGUCCGAACGGCCCAGUGGAUGAAGGCUCCUGCUGGCACGCCUGGUAGCCCGAGUGCCACUCCUGGGACCCUCAGGAGAGUAUACAUCCCUGGGAGUUAUCCUCUGACCUCUGCAUGUUAUGGCUUGUGUACACCCAUGUAUACACACACAUGCUCAGGAUAAAUUAAGUGCUGGGAAGUCAUCAAUCAGAAGGUGUAAAGACGCAGGCUAUGAUAUGUAUGCUAAAAAUGGGAUAGCUAAAUCCAAGCAGCCAGACAGGGGGGUCACACAUACGAUUUUAUUUGUUUAUUUCUUUAUUUCAGUGCUGAUUGUCUUCUGAGACAGGGUCCCAGGUAGCCCAGACUUGAGCUGAGGAUGACUUGGAACUUCUGAUCCUCCUGCCUCCACCUCCUGAGUGCUGGGAUUACAGGCUUCUAUAACAAUACUUAUUUUAUCAUUUCAUGUCUUAAGAACUGCUUAGAGAGGCGAGUGAAAGACAGGUACAGAUCCUCAGUGACCCGGACUGGCUGGAGACACCCACAGGCCUGCAGCGCCAGGCAGAUAGACCUCAUUAUGAGAGAAUUAACGAAGGUGGAAGGUCCGCCUUCUAAGGGAGUGGCAUCUUCCAAAGAAGUUAUUUGUAGCUGAAAAAGCGGUGUCCCCGGCCUCCCUCCCCAGCAAGUGCAUCUCUUGCUGUCGCCACCGUCCUCUGCCAUUGGGACUCCAGUUUCUUCAGCUUCCAGUGUGGACUGACUGCCAGCUCCGCAGGGUGCUAUCAGGUCCGUAGCCCCAGUUUUGAACGACUCAUGCAUCCAGCUUUGUAGAUCGAGCAUCCUGCAGCUUCUCUGCCUCUCUUGCAGGCUGCCAGCCACUGUUGGACUACCCAAACUCCAAUCUAGCUCUAGGGGGCGCCUGACCACAAUCUUCUGACAAGAGCAGUAUCAGGAUGGUUGAGCUCUAGCAAGCAUGCCUGCCGCGUUUCUUCAGCCCCAGCGUCUGUCCCGGGAGGAAGCUAAACCAAAAUCAAGCCUUAAAGGAUCCCACCCAUCCUGCUUUGGAGAAAACGGGAGGGAACACUGCAGCAGCUAGGAACUCCUGUGCUCUGACACCACUGGUGAUCAUGUGCCCUCUCAAGUCAUACUUAGCUCAGCUCCCUUGAGUGUCACAUGACCUCAGUGAGUGCUGCUGGCCUUGCCCCAGCUUUGGAGUUCUUGGGUCAGAGGCCUGAGUUUGGGCCCAGAAGUCGCGGCCUCGGUCAGGGAUACACCUGGGACCCACAGCUCCACGAGACCCCAGGCCUUCCACUCACCAUGUUCAAGACAGAUUGUCCUCUGUAAGCUGCCUGCUGUUGGCAAGCCCAUCUUUCCUCUUCCUCUCUGUGGCUGCCCCCCUCGCCCCGCCAUGUUCUUGUUGUACUGGGAAGUCAGACUCUGGGUGCCAACAGGGUGGUUGCUCACUGGAAUGCUUCAGGGUCCUGCACCUACCUGUUCCCAUCCUCCCUGUCUCUGGCAGUGCAGUAGCAACACAAAUAAUGGCUUUGGUCAAGAUAGACGGUCACUGCUGUCCCUGUCACUCACCAUGACCUAUGCCUGGAUGACUCCCUCCUGGGUCACUCCUCUCCAUGUCCCCUGCCUGGUGGCUGUAUACACAUUGUCAAGGAUCUCCCCACCCCAGCUGAGAGUCACCCCCUGGUUCGGGGUCACCCCUACCCCUGCCCCAUCCCACUCACCG